GGUUAAGCGACUAAGCGUACACGGUGGAUGCCCUGGCAGUCAGAGGCGAUGAAGGACGUGCUAAUCUGCGAUAAGCGCCGGUAAGGUGAUAUGAACCGUUAUAACCGGCGAUUUCCGAAUGGGGAAACCCAGUGUGAUUCGUCACACUAUCAUUAACUGAAUCCAUAGGUUAAUGAGGCGAACCGGGGGAACUGAAACAUCUAAGUACCCCGAGGAAAAGAAAUCAACCGAGAUUCCCCCAGUAGCGGCGAGCGAACGGGGAGGAGCCCAGAGCCUGAAUCAGCAUGUGUGUUAGUGGAAGCGUCUGGAAAGGCGCGCGAUACAGGGUGACAGCCCCGUACACAAAAGCGCAUGUGUUGUGAGCUCGAUGAGUAGGGCGGGACACGUGGUAUCCUGUCUGAAUAUGGGGGGACCAUCCUCCAAGGCUAAAUACUCCUGACUGACCGAUAGUGAACCAGUACCGUGAGGGAAAGGCGAAAAGAACCCCGGCGAGGGGAGUGAAAAAGAACCUGAAACCGUGUACGUACAAGCAGUGGGAGCACAGGUUUACCUGUGUGACUGCGUACCUUUUGUAUAAUGGGUCAGCGACUUAUAUUCUGUAGCAAGGUUAACCGUAUAGGGGAGCCGCAGGGAAACCGAGUCUUAAUUGGGCGUUAAGUUGCAGGGUAUAGACCCGAAACCCGGUGAUCUAGCCAUGGGCAGGUUGAAGGUUGGGUAACACUAACUGGAGGACCGAACCGACUAAUGUUGAAAAAUUAGCGGAUGACCUGUGGCUGGGGGUGAAAGGCCAAUCAAACCGGGAGAUAGCUGGUUCUCCCCGAAAGCUAUUUAGGUAGCGCCUCGUGAAUUCAUCUCCGGGGGUAGAGCACUGUUUCGGCUAGGGGGCCAUCCCGGCUUACCAACCCGAUGCAAACUGCGAAUACCGGAGAAUGUUAUCACGGGAGACACACGGCGGGUGCUAACGUCCGUCGUGAAGAGGGAAACAACCCAGACCGCCAGCUAAGGUCCCAAAGUCAUGGUUAAGUGGGAAACGAUGUGGGAAGGCCCAGACAGCCAGGAUGUUGGCUUAGAAGCAGCCAUCAUUUAAAGAAAGCGUAAUAGCUCACUGGUCGAGUCGGCCUGCGCGGAAGAUGUAACGGGGCUAAACCAUGCACCGAAGCUGCGGCAGCGACACUGUGUGUUGUUGGGUAGGGGAGCGUUCUGUAAGCCUGUGAAGGUGGCCUGUGAGGGUUGCUGGAGGUAUCAGAAGUGCGAAUGCUGACAUAAGUAACGAUAAAGCGGGUGAAAAGCCCGCUCGCCGGAAGACCAAGGGUUCCUGUCCAACGUUAAUCGGGGCAGGGUGAGUCGACCCCUAAGGCGAGGCCGAAAGGCGUAGUCGAUGGGAAACGGGUUAAUAUUCCCGUACUUGGUGUUACUGCGAAGGGGGGACGGAGAAGGCUAUGUUGGCCGGGCGACGGUUGUCCCGGUUUAAGCGUGUAGGUGUGUGUUCCAGGUAAAUCCGGUUCACUUUAACACUGAGGCGUGAUGACGAGGCACUACGGUGCUGAAGCAACAAAUGCCCUGCUUCCAGGAAAAGCCUCUAAGCAUCAGGUAACAUCAAAUCGUACCCCAAACCGACACAGGUGGUCAGGUAGAGAAUACCAAGGCGCUUGAGAGAACUCGGGUGAAGGAACUAGGCAAAAUGGUGCCGUAACUUCGGGAGAAGGCACGCUGACAUGUAGGUGAAGUGAUUUACUCAUGGAGCUGAAGUCAGUCGAAGAUACCAGCUGGCUGCAACUGUUUAUUAAAAACACAGCACUGUGCAAACACGAAAGUGGACGUAUACGGUGUGACGCCUGCCCGGUGCCGGAAGGUUAAUUGAUGGGGUCAGCGCAAGCGAAGCUCCUGAUCGAAGCCCCGGUAAACGGCGGCCGUAACUAUAACGGUCCUAAGGUAGCGAAAUUCCUUGUCGGGUAAGUUCCGACCUGCACGAAUGGCGUAAUGAUGGCCAGGCUGUCUCCACCCGAGACUCAGUGAAAUUGAACUCGCUGUGAAGAUGCAGUGUACCCGCGGCAAGACGGAAAGACCCCGUGAACCUUUACUAUAGCUUGACACUGAACAUUGAGCCUUGAUGUGUAGGAUAGGUGGGAGGCUUUGAAGCGUGGACGCCAGUCUGCGUGGAGCCGGCCUUGAAAUACCACCCUUUAAUGUUUGAUGUUCUAACGUGGACCCGUGAUCCGGGUUGCGGACAGUGUCUGGUGGGUAGUUUGACUGGGGCGGUCUCCUCCUAAAGAGUAACGGAGGAGCACGAAGGUUGGCUAAUCCUGGUCGGACAUCAGGAGGUUAGUGCAAUGGCAUAAGCCAGCUUGACUGCGAGCGUGACGGCGCGAGCAGGUGCGAAAGCAGGUCAUAGUGAUCCGGUGGUUCUGAAUGGAAGGGCCAUCGCUCAACGGAUAAAAGGUACUCCGGGGAUAACAGGCUGAUACCGCCCAAGAGUUCAUAUCGACGGCGGUGUUUGGCACCUCGAUGUCGGCUCAUCACAUCCUGGGGCUGAAGUAGGUCCCAAGGGUAUGGCUGUUCGCCAUUUAAAGUGGUACGCGAGCUGGGUUUAGAACGUCGUGAGACAGUUCGGUCCCUAUCUGCCGUGGGCGCUGGAGAACUGAGGGGGCUGCUCCUAGUACGAGAGGACCGGAGUGGACGCAUCACUGGUGUUCGGGUUGUCAUGCCAAUGGCACUGCCCGGUAGCUAAAUGCGGAAGAGAUAAGUGCUGAAAGCAUCUAAGCACGAAACUUGCCCCGAGAUGAGUUCUCCCUGAGACUUAAAGUCUCCUGAAGGAACGUUGAAGACGACGACGUUGAUAGGCCGGGUGUGUAAGCGCAGCGAUGCGUUGAGCUAACCGGUACUAAUGAACCGUGAGGCUUAACCUU
rnacentral:rRNA from 1 species